rnacentral:rRNA from 1 species
GACGAACGCUGGCGGCGUGCCUAACACAUGCAAGUCGAACGGAAAGGCCCUGCUUUUGCGGGGUGCACGAGUGGCGAACGGGUGUGUAACACGUGUGUAACCCGCCCUUGACUUUGGGAUAACUUCAGGAAACUGGGGCUAAUACCGGGUAGGAGCUUCUGCUCCGUGGUGGGGGUUGGAAAGUGUCGGCGGUUGGGGAUGGACUCGCGGCUUAUCAGCUUGUUUGUGUGGUAGUGGCUGACCAAGGCUAAGACGGGUAGCCGGCCUGAGAGCGGGACCAGGGACAAUAGGACUGCGAGACGGACCAGACGGGUACGGGCGGCAGCGGUGGAAAGUCUUACGCAGUGAGGGCGAGCCUGAUACGAAGGCGCCCCGUGCGGAAUACCGGCCUACGAGUUGUGAACCGCUUUCGCCUGAGACGAGGCGUGAGUGACGGUACUGAGUAAAGAAGCCCCGGCUAACUACGUG